GAAAGACAAGACUUUCUCGAGCACAAGGUCACCUUCUCGGAACACACGAGGCUUGACCUUGUUAUCAAAUGCUUUCUUCAUUCUCUGCUGAUACAACUAACCAUGAUACAUGGCAGUUAAUCUCUUCUUUUCGAUCAGAUUCACUUGGUCGUAACGACUCUGAAUCCAUUCAGCAUCAGUCAACUUGGGAUUUGAGGGUGCUAUUAUUCUUUUGUUUCUUUCCUUCUUUUUUCUUUCUUUUGAUUUUGAUUUUGAUUUUUU
rnacentral:lncRNA from 1 species